GGAUCCUACGGGGCGCAGCAGUGGGGGAUAUUGCACAAUGGGGGGAACCCUGAUGCAGCGACGCCGCGUGGGUGAAGGAGUAUUUCGGUAUGUAAAGCCCUAUCGGCAGGGAAGAAGCAAGACGGUACCUGACUAAGAAGCCCCGGCUAACUACGUGCCAGCAGCCGCGGUAAUACGUAGGGGGCGAGCGUUAUCCGGAUUCACUGGGGGUAAAGGGAGCGUAGACGGCCAUGCAAGCCAGGGGUGAAAGCCCGGGGCCCAACCCCGGGACUGCCCUUGGAACUGCACGGCUGG
rnacentral:rRNA from 1 species